GGACUUCUGAGGAGUCUCAUACUAAGACGAAACGGACGUCUAGUGC
rfam:Schistosoma curassoni strain Dakar, Senegal genome assembly, scaffold: SCTD_scaffold0010140